GGUGUUCCGGGACACAGCGGAGCCCAAGUGGGAUGAGGAGUUUGAGAUCGAGCUGGAGGGCUCCCAGUCCCUGAGGAUCCUGUGCUAUGAGAAGUGCUAUGACAAGACCAAGGUCAACAAGGACAACAAUGAGAUCGUGGACAAGAUCAUGGGCAAAGGACAGAUCCAGGUGAGGCCAGGGCGAGGCUGAGGGAGCCUCCAGGAGGUGGUUCCAGUUGAAAAGGAAUUCUG
rnacentral:sRNA from 1 species